rnacentral:lncRNA from 1 species
AAAAAUCAUAUCCUAAACUCUUGUCAUAUGUGACCCAAACUUUUCCACCAAAUAUUUAUAAAAUUAUAUUGGACCCUAUAAAUUAAUAAUAUAUAGAUCAAUAAAAAAUUGUUGUUUGAGAUAUAAGAAUAUCUAAUCUCAGAGGAAUAGUGAGACAAAUACUUAGUAGUAGGAGAAUAUGCGGUGGCAAAUAUAUAUUCUAGGACUAAAUUAAGUAGCUCUCAAUUAUGCAAGCAUAUAUUCAAUAGCCACCAAUCAUGGCCCUUCUCAAUUACCUCACACUAAAUCAAUUAUGGGAAAAUAAAAUAAAAUAUUGUCAAAUUUAAGUUCAACAUGAUUUGUCCUUUUUUUCAAUUAAAAAAAUGGUGCAAAAUGGGCCUGUAAUUGAGUGACACAAUAUGCCACCCAAUCUUUUGUGCAUCAAUAGCUUAUAUAAGCCCAAGCCACUUUGAAUUCUCUAUGGACCAUCAUAGGACAAGUCAAAACAAAAGUUUGGACAUGUAUGGGCCGGAUUAGGCUCUUGGAUUGGAUUGAUGGAAUGAUAAGUUGGGUUGGGUCAGCUUGAAAUGAGAUUUUGUAAAAUUAAAUGUGUGCUUGGUUCUGAAUUUGUCCAUCAAAUAUCAAUUCAAAAUCUGCAGUGAUAAGAUCUAUAACAGCCCAGCCCGCUAAUACUAAUAAUCCAUUUUGUUCAAACCACCGGUCCAAAUUACUUUACCCCAGAAUACUUUCAAUUAUAAUUUUUUUUUUUUUCUAUCCAAUGUAAGAUUACAGGGACAUCAUAGGCUCUGUCCAUUUAGAUUUUGACGUCUUCGUCACAUUCUAUUCCCUAGCCCCAAGACUACAAAGCAAUAUAAUUUCUAUCUAACACUUCUGGCUACCGAAUCCGGCUUUGAUACUAAAUGUAACGACUCAGCAUGUUAAUAUUAAUUACUUGUUGCAUUAAAAUCAUUCAAUCAUAGUUUCUUUACUAUCUAAUGUUGACUAUCGAGGCACCAAAAGAUGGGCUACUAUGACCCUCAUGCUGGUUUCUGAUCGGUUAUAUUUUCUUUUUUUUGAGAGAGAGAGAGAAAUAUAGCAUGCUAUCUUUUUUGUUUAUUUUUUUAGAAAUAAACUUAGUUGGAAAUAUGAAACAACUAGGUUUCGAAUUUGGGAUCUCGGGUAUCAAUUAUCAAGCCAUUUGUCACUUGUGGUAAGGAUGGUUGGUGGUCGGUUAUAUUUUCACUCAAAG